rnacentral:rRNA from 1 species
AUUGAACGCUGGCGGCAUGCCUUACACAUGCAAGUCGAACGGUAACGCGGGGCAACCUGGCGACGAGUGGCGAACGGGUGAGUAAUAUAUCGGAACGUGCCCAGUAGUGGGGGAUAGCCCGGCGAAAGCCGGAUUAAUACCGCAUACGACCUAAGGGUGAAAGCGGGGGAUCGCAAGACCUCGCGCUAUUGGAGCGGCCGAUAUCAGAUUAGGUAGUUGGUGGGGUAAAGGCCUACCAAGCCGACGAUCUGUAGCUGGUCUGAGAGGACGACCAGCCACACUGGGACUGAGACACGGCCCAGACUCCUACGGGAGGCAGCAGUGGGGAAUUUUGGACAAUGGGCGCAAGCCUGAUCCAGCCAUGCCGCGUGCGGGAAGAAGGCCUUCGGGUUGUAAACCGCUUUUGUCAGGGAAGAAAUCUUCUGGGUUAAUACCUCGGGAGGAUGACGGUACCUGAAGAAUAAGCACCGGCUAACUACGUG